rnacentral:rRNA from 2 species
CUAAUACAUGCAAGUCGAACGAACUCUGGUAUUGAUUGGUGCUUGCAUCAUGAUUUACAUUUGAGUGAGUGGCGAACUGGUGAGUAACACGUGGGAAACCUGCCCAGAAGCGGGGGAUAACACCUGGAAACAGAUGCUAAUACCGCAUAACAACUUGGACCGCAUGGUCCGAGCUUGAAAGAUGGCUUCGGCUAUCACUUUUGGAUGGUCCCGCGGCGUAUUAGCUAGAUGGUGGGGUAACGGCUCACCAUGGCAAUGAUACGUAGCCGACCUGAGAGGGUAAUCGGCCACAUUGGGACUGAGACACGGCCCAAACUCCUACGGGAGGCAGCAGUAGGGAAUCUUCCACAAUGGACGAAAGUCUGAUGGAGCAACGCCGCGUGAGUGAAGAAGGGUUUCGGCUCGUAAAACUCUGUUGUUAAAGAAGAACAUAUCUGAGAGUAACUGUUCAGGUAUUGACGGUAUUUAACCAGAAAGCCACGGCUAACUACGUGCCAGCAGCCGCGGUAAUACGUAGGUGGCAAGCGUUGUCCGGAUUUAUUGGGCGUAAAGCGAGCGCAGGCGGUUUUUUAAGUCUGAUGUGAAAGCCUUCGGCUCAACCGAAGAAGUGCAUCGGAAACUGGGAAACUUGAGUGCAGAAGAGGACAGUGGAACUCCAUGUGUAGCGGUGAAAUGCGUAGAUAUAUGGAAGAACACCAGUGGCGAAGGCGGCUGUCUGGUCUGUAACUGACGCUGAGGCUCGAAAGUAUGGGUAGCAAACAGGAUUAGAUACCCUGGUAGUCCAUACCGUAAACGAUGAAUGCUAAGUGUUGGAGGGUUUCCGCCCUUCAGUGCUGCAGCUAACGCAUUAAGCAUUCCGCCUGGGGAGUACGGCCGCAAGGCUGAAACUCAAAGGAAUUGACGGGGGCCCGCACAAGCGGUGGAGCAUGUGGUUUAAUUCGAAGCUACGCGAAGAACCUUACCAGGUCUUGACAUACUAUGCAAAUCUAAGAGAUUAGACGUUCCCUUCGGGGACAUGGAUACAGGUGGUGCAUGGUUGUCGUCAGCUCGUGUCGUGAGAUGUUGGGUUAAGUCCCGCAACGAGCGCAACCCUUAUUAUCAGUUGCCAGCAUUAAGUUGGGCACUCUGGUGAGACUGCCGGUGACAAACCGGAGGAAGGUGGGGAUGACGUCAAAUCAUCAUGCCCCUUAUGACCUGGGCUACACACGUGCUACAAUGGAUGGUACAACGAGUUGCGAACUCGCGAGAGUAAGCUAAUCUCUUAAAGCCAUUCUCAGUUCGGAUUGUAGGCUGCAACUCGCCUACAUGAAGUCGGAAUCGCUAGUAAUCGCGGAUCAGCAUGCCGCGGUGAAUACGUUCCCGGGCCUUGUACACACCGCCCGUCACACCAUGAGAGUUUGUAACACCCAAAGUCGGUGGGGUAACCUUUUAGGAACCAGCCGCCUA